UUAAUGCGCAUGCGCCAGACAUCAUGAUGACGCACUACUUCCCUAGAGUUUGAAAAAUGCGCUGUUGUGUUUCUGUAAUCGCGAUGCAUGAGGAAAUGAAAACAAGAAGAGAACAAAAGGAGCGCCACGUUUGGCUGUUUGCAGAUGAGAUGUUAUACUGCAAAUAAUUAGUCAAGUAUUUUUUCCUGACUUUCCUGCCUCUUUGGAACAAAUCCAUUCACAUUUACUUUGGAGAGCACCGGGACAUUGACAUAAACAGGACUUU